CACUCCUGCGGGAGGCAGCAGUGGGGAAUUUUGGACAAUGGGCGAAAGCCUGAUCCAGCAAUGCCGCGUGAGUGAAGAAGGCCUUCGGGUUGUAAAGCUCUUUUGUCAGGGAAGAAACGGUGAGAGCUAAUAUCUUUUGCUAAUGACGGUACCUGAAGAAUAAGCACCGGCUAACUACGUGCCAGCAGCCGCGGUAAUACGUAGGGUGCAAGCGUUAAUCGGAAUUACUGGGCGUAAAGCGUGCGCAGGCGGUUUUGUAAGUCUGAUGUGAAAUCCCCGGGCUCAACCUGGGAAUUGCAUUGGAGACUGCAAGGCUAGAAUCUGGCAGAGGGGGGUAGAAUUCCACGUGUAGCAGUGAAAUGCGUAGAUAUGUGGAGGAACACCGAUGGCGAAGGCAGCCCCCUGGGUCAAGAUUGACGCUCAUGCACGAAAGCGUGGGGAGCAAACAGGAUUAGAUACCCUGGUAGUCCCAUGA
rnacentral:rRNA from 1 species